AGAAAAUCCUGCUGUGAUCUGAUUGGCUGACUGUGUCUUGAUAAAGAGCACCUGUGGCCCUUACUAAUUAUGUUUCAGUCUCCUUUUGUUUGAACCAAAAGCUGUUGUUCAGACAUGGCUUGUGUGGAAUCGUUGCGUUAUAAACCAACAAUUACCAUCAAUGCCAUCUGUGAAAUGUCUACUCCUAUAUGUCAGCACAAAUAAACUGGGAAAAGUACUUGAUGACUGAAUGAGUUUUAAUGGACCCACCAUUCCAGUAGCAACAGCCAAAUCAGCCUAAAUUUCUACAUGGUCCUUCGAGCCGGAGAGGCAACUGGAAUGGAGACUGAGGAUGACUGUGUGAAACCUAAA